AUACGGAGGGUGCAAGCGUUACUCGGAAUCACUGGGCGUAAAGCGCGCGCAGGCGGCCAUUUAAGUUGGAUGUGAAGGCCUACGGCUCAACCGUAGAACUGCAUCCAAAACUAUUUGGCUAGAGUGUGGGAGAGGAAGAUGGAAUUAGUUGUGUAGGGGUAAAAUCCGUAGAGAUAACUAGGAAUACCAAAAGCGAAGGCAAUCUUCUGGAACACUACUGACGCUGAGGCGCGAAAGCGUGGGGAGCAAACGGGAUUAGAAACCCUAGUAGUCC
rnacentral:rRNA from 1 species